rnacentral:lncRNA from 1 species
AGUGUUGGGCAUGGGAAAAUAGCAAUUUUUGGUCCCUAAGUGAAUAGUGACUUUGCAAGGUGGCCCUUGAAUCUCAACUAUAAAUAGGCCAACCAUUGCUCAUUCUCAUCAUCCCACAUUUGCCAUUCUCUACUUAAGGCAUUGUUCUCUCUCCCUAUUUGUAAAGUUUCACUUGUAUUUUUGGAGUGAAAUAUAUUUGGUAGUGCCCGAGGACGUAGGCAAGAUUUGCCGAACCUCGUUAAAAUUCUGGUGUUCUUUACUAUUUAUUGUUCAUAUUUUGUGAGUGUGAUUGUAGUGAUUUAUUGUGCUAUUAAAUUACGAUAGAGGGAUAUUCUGGCUAGGAAAGACUUGGUACUUAAGUGAUCCUCGUGAUUCACCUCUCUUUCCUGGGAAUUGAACUUAGUGUGAUUUUUUAGUACAAUAAUUUUACUCUUUCACACGCUUCCGCGCAACAAUUGGUAUCAGAGCCAGGUUCGUACUUGGAGAAUACGACCGUUUACGGUACUAUUCACGUAUACGGCACUAUUCACGUAUACGGUACUGUUCACGUAUACAGUAGUUGGGAUUGAGAAAUGGCAGCAGCAUCGUCAUCAGCAAGGACUACUGUGACAAAUGCAAAAUUUGAAGUAGAGAAAUUUGACGGUACCAAUAAUUUUGGUAUGUGGCAAUGUGAGAUCCUGGAUGUCUUAUGUCAGCAAGAGCUAGAUAUAGCCCUUGAAGAAAAACCUGACAAGAUGGAUGACAAGGAGUGGGCCAAGAUCAAUAGACAGGCGUGUGGUACAAUCCGCCUAUGUUUGGCCAAAGAGCAGAAGUAUUCUGUCAUGAGGGAGACAUCAGCGAAGAAGUUAUGGGAUACACUGGAAGAAAAGUUUCUAACGAAAAGUCUUGAAAAUAGGCUUUAUAUGAAAAAGAAACUUUAUCGAUUCACGUAUGCACCCGGUAUGUCGAUGAAUGACCAUGUGAACUCAUUCAAUAAAAUUUUAGCAGACUUGCUAAAUUUGGAUGAGAAAUUUGAAGAUGAAGACAAGGCAUUAUUAUUGUUGAAUUCCCUUCCUGAUGAAUAUGAUCAUCUUACCACCACAUUGCUUCAUGGGAAGGACACGAUCACAUUUGAUGCAGUCUGUAGUGCGUUGUAUAGAUCUGAGACUCGAAAGAAAGAUAAAAGAGAUCACAGAGAUACAACCGCAGAAGUCUUAACAGUAAGAGGUCGUUCACACAGCAGCAAACCUGGUAGAAGGGGUAAGUCCAAAGGGAGACCCGCCAAAGAUGAAUGUGCCUUUUGUCGUGAGAAAGGGCAUUGGAAAAAGAAUUGUCCUAAGUUACAAAAGGGCAAGUCUAUUUCUAAUGCAUGUGUAGCGGAGCAUGAUGAGGAGUCAGACUUUAGCUUGGUUGGCAUGGCAAUGGCAUGUCAAACGGAUGAGUGGAUAUUGGAUUCGGGAUGUACUUACCAUAUGUGUCCUAAUAAGGACUGGUUUUCUAGUCUUGAAGAACUAGAAGGUGGAGUUGUUUUUAUGGGCAAUGAUAGUGCCUGUAAGACAAUGGGUGUAGGUACAAUCAAAUUGAAGAACCAUGACGGCUCAAUCCAAGUUCUGACAGAUGUUCGCUAUGUACCCAGCUUGAAGAAAAAUCUCAUCUCAUUAGGGGCCCUAGAAUCUAAAGGGUUCACAAUCACUUUGAGAGAUGGAUUACUAAAGGUAGUAGCUGGGGUAUUGACGGUGAUGAAAGGCACUAGAAGAAAUAACUUGUACUAUUUAAAUGGAAGUACAGUUAUUGGAUCAACAUCAACAGCUUCUGCGAAAGAUGCAGAUUCAGAGGCUACCAGGUUAUGGCAUAGGCGAUUGGGACAUGCUGGUGAAAAAGCUUUGCAGACUUUGGCGAAGCAAGGCUUGUUGAAAGGUGCAAAUUCUUGCAAAUUGGAAUUCUGUGAACAUUGUGUUCUGGGCAAGCAGAAGAGGGUAAAAUUUGGUCCAGCAAUUCAGAAUACGAAAGGAAUUCUGGACUACGUUCACAGUGAUGUGUGGGGACCUACCAAAGUGGCUUCUUUGGGAGGUAUGCACUAUUUUGUCACUUUUCUUGAUGAUUAUUCAAGAAAAGUAUGGGUGUAUCUAAUGAAAAGAAAAAAUGAAGUUUUGGAUGCAUUUCUGAAGUGGAAGAAGAUGGUGGAGACUCAGACAGGUCGAAAGGUCAAACGACUUCGAUCAGAUAAUGGUACUGAGUACAAAAAUGAUCCAUUUCUACAAGUAUGUCAAGAUGAGGGCAUUGUGCGACACUUCACUGUUCGAGAUACACCACAGCAGAAUGGGGUGGCAGAACGCAUGAAUCGGACUAUACUGGAGAAAGUUCGAUGUAUGUUGUCCAAUGCUGGAUUGGGCAAGGAAUUUUGGGCUGAGGCAGUUACAUAUGCGUGCCAUCUAAUUAACCGAUUGCCAUCAGCUGCAAUAAAUGGAAAAACUCCGAUGGAGAUGUGGACUGGUAAACCUGCUACUGAUUAUGAUUCUUUACAUGUUUUUGGUUCCACUGCAUAUUAUCAUGUAAAAGAAUCUAAGUUAGACCCAAGAGCAAAGAAAGCAUUAUUCAUGGGUAUAACUGGUGGUGUAAAAGGAUACCGUCUCUGGUGUCUUGAUACAAGGAAGAUUGUUUUCAGUAGAGAUGUAACUUUUGAUGAAUCAACCAUGAUGAAGAACGAGGAUUCACAAAAGGAUGACAAAACCAGUAGUACUUUGCAGCAGGUGGAGUUUGAAAAGGUUAAUGAUGAUCCAGCUAAUAUUGAAAGAACAAAUGAUGAAGAAGUUUCGACCCAAGAACUUCUACAGCAACAAGAUUCAAUUGCAUAUAGGAGGCCAAGAAGAGAGAUUCGUAAGCCUGCUCGCUUUGACGAUAUGGUGGCCUAUGCACUUCCAAUUGCAGAUGAUGAUGUUCCUUCCACUUACACAGAAGCAAUAAGUAACUCUGAUGGUGUAAAGUGGAAGCAAGCUAUGAAUGAAGAAAUGCAGUCUCUUCAUAAAAAUAGGACUUGGGAGUUGGUGAGACUGCCCAAGGGAAAGAAGGCAAUUGGAUGCAAAUGGGUAUAUGCAAAGAAGGAACGAUUUCCUGGUAAAAAUGAAAUUCGAUACAAGGCUAGAUUGGUAGCAAAGGGUUACGCUCAGAAAGAAGGAAUAGACUACAAUGAAGUGUUUUCUCCAGUUGUGAAGCAUUCGUCUAUUCGGAUUUUGCUAGCCUUGGUUGCGCAAUAUGAUCUUGAACUAGUUCAGCUUGAUGUGAAGACCGCGUUUUUACACGGUGAUUUGGAAGAGGAAAUCUAUAUGACUCAGCCAGAUGGAUUCAAGGUUGCUGGAAAAGAAAAUUGGAUUUGCAAACUGACAAAGUCGCUUUAUGGAUUGAAGCAAUCUCCGAGGCAGUGGUACAAGCGAUUUGAUCAGUUCAUGAAAGGGCAAAGGUACACAAGAAGUAAAUUUGAUCAUUGCGUGUAUUUUCAGAAGCUACAAGAAGGAACUUUCAUAUACUUGCUCUUAUAUGUUGAUGAUAUGCUAAUAGCAUCUAAGAGCAAAGUUGAGAUUGAAAGAUUGAAGACUCAACUCAAUCUCGAGUUUGAGAUGAAAGAUCUAGGAGAAGCUAAAAAGAUUCUCGGCAUGGAAAUAUGUAGAGAUAGAGCUCAUGGCAGAGUUAGCUUGUCUCAGAAGCAGUAUUUGAAGAAAGUACUACAGCAGUUUGGUAUGAACGAGCAGACCAAACCUGUAAGUACCUCGUUGGCUUCUCAUUUCAAGCUUUCUGCACAACUAUCUCCUUCGACGAAUACGGAACAAGAAUACAUGUUGCAAGUUCCGUAUUCUAAUGCAGUGGGUAGCUUGAUGUAUGCAAUGGUGUGUACAAGACCCGACAUUUCACAGGCAAUUAGUAUAGUGAGCAGGUAUAUGCAUAAUCCUGGAAAAGGACAUUGGCAAGCUGUGAAAUGGAUUCUACGGUAUAUUCAGAAGACCGUGGAUGUUGGAUUACUGUUCAAGCAGGAUAAUACACUUGGUAAAGGUGUUAUUGGGUACGUUGAUUCUGACUAUGCCGGUGAUUUGGACAAGCGAAGAUCAACCACCGGUUAUGUGUUUACACUUGCUGGAGGACCAAUAAGUUGGAAGUCUACACUACAGUCUACAGUUGCAUUGUCAACCACAGAAGCCGAGUACAUGGCUGUAACAGAGGCUGUAAAGGAGGCUGUUUGGUUACAAGGUAUGGCUAAAACCUUGGGGUUGGUUCAGGAGCAUAUUAACGUGUAUUGUGAUAGUCAAAGUGCUAUUCAUUUAGCAAAGAAUCAAGUCUAUCAUGCACGUACAAAACAUAUCGACGUACGAUUCCAUUUUGUGCGGGAAAUUAUUGAAGAGGGGAAAAUUUGUCUUCAGAAGAUCAAGACUGCAGAUAAUCCCGCAGAUAUGAUGACCAAGGUGGUAACAGCAACCAAGUUCGAACAUUGUUUGAACUUGAUUAAUAUCCUGCAAGUUUAACAGUUGAAGAAGGCACUAUCAAGUAUUGUUGUCAAAAGCAGAAAGAAUUGUGUGAAGAUAAGAUUAUCCUAAUCAAAUCUUCAAGGUGGAGAUUAUUAGAAUAUACCCAUACCCCAUACCUUGCCCAUACCUUUCCCAUACCUACCCAUACUUUGGAAAGGUCAAAGUUAUGGGCACCAAAUAUUUUAUUUAGUGUUGGGCAUGGGAAAAUAGCAAUUUUUGGUCCCUAAGUGAAUAGUGACUUUGCAAGGUGGCCCUUGAAUCUCAACUAUAAAUAGGCCAACCAUUGCUCAUUCUCAUCAUCCCACAUUUGCCAUUCUCUACUUAAGGCAUUGUUCUCUCUCCCUAUUUGUAAAGUUUCACUUGUAUUUUUGGAGUGAAAUAUAUUUGGUAGUGCCCGAGGACGUAGGCAAGAUUUGCCGAACCUCGUUAAAAUUCUGGUGUUCUUUACUAUUUAUUGUUCAUAUUUUGUGAGUGUGAUUGUAGUGAUUUAUUGUGCUAUUAAAUUACGAUAGAGGGAUAUUCUGGCUAGGAAAGACUUGGUACUUAAGUGAUCCUCGUGAUUCACCUCUCUUUCCUGGGAAUUGAACUUAGUGUGAUUUUUUAGUACAAUAAUUUUACUCUUUCACACGCUUCCGCGCAAC